AGAAAGUCACGUGUCUGCAGUAACAGAGUGGCAGGGCUGGGAUUUAAAUUCAGUUCUUGGGACUCUAAAGCUUUUAUUAUUAUUUCCACAGACUCUACCAGUCUGGGAUUAUAAUCUUGCCAGCGAAAGCAAACAAGACCUGUUCAGGAAGAAAAGGGGCCCCAGUUGAGAACUUGGAAGCAUAGAGCACACAUUCAGAUCCUGCUCCUCCAGGGAAUCUUCCUCCCUGAGCUUCUCCAGCACCCAGAAACACCACAACAGGCCUGCUGUUAGUCCUGGGUCUGAGUCUGCAUCUGGAGUCAGUUAUCUGGAUCGCCUACAGAACCCUGCAUUAUCUGUAUCACAGUACGAUCCUUGGAUGAUGUACCACCAAUCGCAUCAUUUCUGAAAUGUUAGCCCGAACAACGAAAACUCUGUUAUAUGUAAAAUUAAAAACGAUUGUGUAUAAUUGAA